CACCUACAACAGCAAUCAAACACCGCUUCCAUGGUAGCUUAGGUAUCUGUUUAGAUAUCUUGCUUUUAUUUUAUUUGGACUCAAUAUUGAGAUCCUUACCAGUGCUUAAGAAUAAUAUUAUGAACUGAACUUGUCAAAGGGCUUUCACUGAGAGUUAUCUUUUGGAGAUGUUUUGUCUCAAUCCAUUAGCAUUGGUGUUUCCUCUCAUUCUCCUUUGCACUGAACUCUUUUUCUUGAUCUAAUACGUUGGGGGAUUUUUCCUCUUUAUUUUUUUAAUUUUACUUUUUUUCCAUGUUGUCCCUUACCCAAUCUCACCUCUAGCAAUGUUGCUGAAGUCAUGAGUAAACUGAAAAUUACUAAAGAAUCACUUUAUAGAAUUGCAUUCUGUUUUAGUCAUGCCACCAGCAGCAAAGUAAUAGUGGCAGCAGCUGAGAGACAGGUCAAGUUCAUCAGUCUGUUUCCAUCAGCAAUUUGAAUAAUUUUGUGGCUUAUAUUUGUAAUAGAGAAAUCUGAUAUUAUUCGAGAACAGCACUGGUACUUGCCAGUUGGUAGUGCCAAUUUCUGUGGGUUUGUCUUGUGGCUUUCUGUAGAAGAGAGACUUUCUUGCUCAGUCACUUAUUUUGGUAAAGAAGAAGCAAAAAUAUAGCGUUGGCAGAAGUAUAAAUUAUGUUUGAUGUGUCCUUCCAGAUGUUUUCAUAUAUUAAUCAUAUGAAAAUUUUUUUAACUCUGAUUUUUUUUGCUCAAACUUAUUUUAAGUUAAAAAUUAAGAUUUUUUUAAAAUUAUAAUCUUUGUGAGAAAAACUAUUAAUUUUCAUAGAAAUGUUAGAUUUGUAAAAAAAAAAAGAGAUGCCCUCACACAAAACCCUACCCCUAGUGCUUUGUAUAAGACAUAUAUAUUUUUGUCUUUAUCUUCCUGCUUUACAAACAGGUGUGAGUUGGCAUUUAUCAAGGCUGAAUUUAUUAUGUAAAAUAUGAAAGCAAUACGUUUCUAUAAAGUUUCAGUCUAAAUCAGGUUUAUUUUUUAAGUAAUCAUUUAAUCAAAACCAUCUGCAUCUUCUAAUACCAGGUCAGGCAGAGACUAAUAGAUGAAAGCUAAAACUUGACUAUAAUCAAAUAUGAGUGUACAGGAAAAUCAAUCACUCUAAAAGAGUGCAUGCAUGCUUGCAAGGCUAUGUCAUAUUACAAUAAAACUCAGUCCUCAGCAUUUUUUUAGAGAAAAUAAAUAUUUAAUAAGUUAUAGCUCCAAAGUGGCAUGUAAUUUGUUGUCUUUCUAGGUCAACAAAGAACAGUAGUCAAUUAUAUAUAAAUGAAAAUAAAAGCAUACCAAUAAAAUAAUUAUGAAAUACUAGAUUACAAGAAAAAUAAUUAAUUUUGGGGAAGAAAAAUCUGGAAAUUGCAUAGGACCAAAAUACUUAUACGUAAUGUUGCCUAAAUGUUGAUUUAGACUUCACUUGUUUGUUGAACAGAAAUGAAGUUGUGAGCUCAGAUUGGUGCAUUAUAAUCUUCCUAAAUUAAUUUUGCUCCAAAGAAGUUGGGCUUUUUAUUAAUUAGCAGGCGCUUACCAACACUUUCUCUCUACCUUGUUCUUGUGCCCUUUCUGAAAUUGCUCUGCUAUACAUACACUAUAUAAAAUAUUUAUGUCCAACAUAUAGUACUGUGUACUUAGUCUCUUAUGUAUAUUUACAUGGUGUUAAAACAGAAAAUUAUCUACUUUUUCUGUUAGCAUUUUCUCAUCUUGUAGGUUUUCAUAGAAAAUAUAGUAUUUUUCUCCCAGAUUUGUUCUAAACCAGGACACCAAGAAUGAGACAUUUACUACAGUAACUAAUUUCUCAUUUCAACUCAGAUUCACCUUGGUCUCCUUUAUUUCAUUAGGGUCUUUCACUGUAAGACCUUCAAUAUACUGAAGUAGUUGGUAAUGCUUGAUUUCUGUAGUUACUUUGGUUUUACAAAUGUCAAAGCAAAUCAAAUGUGCUAUUAAAAUAAUCAAAAUUAAUUGAAGUGAAUGUACUUAGGUAAGUAUGUGCAUGCAAGAAAUGUAUGUAUAGUACAUAUUACUAUAUGUACUUCAACAUAUGUGUAAAUAUUUCUUUAUGUGUAGUCUGUGUAUUUUACAAUAUUUUUUAACCCAUCUGAAAUAUACAUAAAGCUCUAUGCUGGUAUCUGUGAUUUUUAGAUAGACAAAUUCUUAGUCACAUUUUACACUAUUUGGAGGUUUUUAAUUUUUUUUUUUAUCUUCUAUACAGUAUUAUUUUCAUUAAAAAAAAUACUGUUGCUGUAGAACACAUUUGUAUCAUUGGAAAUUAUUGUCUACACUUGACUGGCUUAUGAUCUUUUCUUGAAAUACAUAGAAGUCUCCUCACAUGCCAAUUAUUCUUUGAUUAAUAUGUAUGCAGAUAACUAAAUGCCCUUCAUUUAUUUAUUUAUUGAGCAGUUUAUAUUUUUCCUGACAAUUUUUUGUUGCCUUUUUCCCACUGAGCAAUACUGGAGCAGCUGCUUAAAAUCACUUGUCGCCGAAGUUAGACAAGCUAAUGUGGUAACAUGAUGGCUUCUGAAACAGUGAGAAAACCUCUGCCCUCAGGAACUGAGCUGUGGGUUUUACUUGUAGAAGUAGGAGGAAACGGGACGUCAUAUUCUCUUGUCCUCAGUGGCUGAAGGGAGUUCACCUGCAAAUUGUUUGAUCUAAAAUUUCAAGUCCUGUUGCAAGACAUUUUGAAGUAGAGAAAGAACACUGUACAAUUCUUCAGUGAGAAAGAGAUUUUCAGCACUGACUGUCCUUUUUCCACAAGGCAUGCUUUGAGGUUCACAGUGUUUCUGGCUCUCUCUGGGAGAGCUAACAAGAAAUCCCAGUAGAUAUAUGAUGAUUCAUUUUGCACAGAAAAGGAACAAAACUUAUGGAUGAUGUCUUCUCAAGCUAGGGAGUUGUAACAGCUAUAGUUACCAAUCUGUGAAACCUGGAGUUUUCAGGUAAAAUAUUCCUGAGUAAAUGUAGCUCUUUCCUUCUUCAGUAAUCAAUGAUGUUAGAGCAACCUGUAGAGAGCAAGAGUGCUUGAUGACAUUUACCAGGCCUUGCUACUCUGAAGACUGAUCACAGUCUUACAAUGAUGCCAUUGAAAUGAGUAAUACCAUUCAAAUCAGAAGAAUCAGUGAUGUCAGCAACAAGCCUCUUCCUGCAGAUGUGUGGUAUUGACUUGCCUUUACUUAACCUAUUCUUGAUAUUCUUCUAUGGCCAAGAUUAUAAUUUAUUUAGUAAUUAAUUUAUUUUUAGUUUUUUUGAGGAUAAAUUUUUCUUCCUGGGAGCUUGAGGAAGCCCCUAAUACAGCUGAUCUUCAUUCCAAGCUGGCCCUAGGAGCUGCCUGAUGGUGCUGUAAAGCCAGGUGAUGGGUACAUCUGUCCUGAGGAGGAGCACAGACCUCGGGGUUUUUGUGGGGUAUAUGAGAAGUCUCCUUACCUGCCCUUGAAUCCAAGAUUUUCUUCCCCUCACAGCAAAAAUGAGAUGUGAACACAAACUCAGUAACAAGGCUGAAUUUAGUUCCAAAUGCUGCGCUGGACAUCAAGGACUGAGUGAGUGCAUUGUUAGACUGCAGGGGCAGAAUGCAGAAUCCAGCAGAAUUAUAGCUUGAUUUUUUUUACUGGGAGAGUGAUAUUACAAAUUGGUUUUUUGCUUGUAAAUUAUCCUUUCUGUUUCAAGUGGUAUCUGUAAGAGUGACCAUUGUAUCUGUUAUCAUUUUUUGUAAGUGGGGAGUUCUCAACUGUAAUUAUUUUUAUUAUUAUUAUUUGCUUGGACGGAUUGGAUUUGCAAACUUGGAAUGUGAAGUUUCAGACUUUUUUUGACACUUACUUUCAUGUAUGUGUACUGAAGAGUAACUCUAUGUAUCUAAAACAAGAUUAACCCCAAUGCUGGCAUGAUCAUUUAAGAGUGAGAAGAAAGAGGUGUUAAUGACAGAAGAGGAGAAAGUAAUGCUAUUUUUAGUGAGAGAUUGGAUAUAAAAGGGAAAUAGAAGGGUUAGAGAUAACAGUGAUAUGUGGAAAAGGCUGACAGUGAAAUACAGGUGUUCUUAUGUAGAGACUGAGAUAUGGUCCAGAAAUCUAAGAGAAGUAAUUUGAGAAAGAGAGCAAAGGGGAAGAGUUCAGUGACCACAUACGGCUGAUUAUAAAUGUA